rnacentral:ncRNA from 2 species
CGCUAUUCUGGAGUUUCCUGUAAUUAGAAGGCGGUUGGAAUCCGUCACUGUCCCGCAACUGUGUUCCUCAUUGAGGUAAGUCAGACCUGAGAGCAGGAAAAAAUAAACCAUA